AUUAAUGCAAGUCGAACGCGUUGGCCCAAUUGAUUGAUGGUGCUUGCACCUGAUUGAUUUUGGUCGCCAACGAGUGGCGGACGGGUGAGUAACACGUAGGUAACCUGCCCAGAAGCGGGGGACAACAUUUGGAAACAGAUGCUAAUACCGCAUAACAACGUUGUUCGCAUGAACAACGCUUAAAAGAUGGCUUCUCGCUAUCACUUCUGGAUGGACCUGCGGUGCAUUAGCUUGUUGGUGGGGUAAUGGCCUACCAAGGCGAUGAUGCAUAGCCGAGUUGAGAGACUGAUCGGCCACAAUGGGACUGAGACACGGCCCAUACUCCUACGGGAGGCAGCAGUAGGGAAUCUUCCACAAUGGGCGCAAGCCUGAUGGAGCAACACCGCGUGAGUGAAGAAGGGUUUCGGCUCGUAAAGCUCUGUUGUUAAAGAAGAACACGUAUGAGAGUAACUGUUCAUACGUUGACGGUAUUUAACCAGAAAGUCACGGCUAACUACGUGCCAGCAGCCGCGGUAAUACGUAGGUGGCAAGCGUUAUCCGGAUUUAUUGGGCGUAAAGAGAGUGCAGGCGGUUUUCUAAGUCUGAUGUGAAAGCCUUCGGCUUAACCGGAGAAGUGCAUCGGAAACUGGAUAACUUGAGUGCAGAAGAGGGUAGUGGAACUCCAUGUGUAGCGGUGGAAUGCGUAGAUAUAUGGAAGAACACCAGUGGCGAAGGCGGCUACCUGGUCUGCAACUGACGCUGAGACUCGAAAGCAUGGGUAGCGAACAGGAUUAGAUACCCUGGUAGUCCAUGCCGUAAACGAUGAGUGCUAGGUGUUGGAGGGUUUCCGCCCUUCAGUGCCGGAGCUAACGCAUUAAGCACUCCGCCUGGGGAGUACGACCGCAAGGUUGAAACUCAUAGGAAUUGACGGGGGCCCGCACAAGCGGUGGAGCAUGUGGUUUAAUUCGAAGCUAC
rnacentral:rRNA from 1 species